rnacentral:rRNA from 1 species
GAUGAACGCUGGCGGCGCGCCUAACACAUGCAAGUCGAACGGCACCCCUCCUCGGAGGGAAGCGAGUGGCGAACGGCUGAGUAACACGUGGAGAACCUGCCCCCUCCCCCGGGAUAGCCGCCCGAAAGGACGGGUAAUACCGGAUACCCCGGGGUGCCGCAUGGCACCCCGGCUAAAGCCCCGACGGGAGGGGAUGGCUCCGCGGCCCAUCAGGUAGACGGCGGGGUGACGGCCCACCGUGCCGACAACGGGUAGCCGGGUUGAGAGACCGACCGGCCAGAUUGGGACUGAGACACGGCCCAGACUCCUACGGGAGGCAGCAGUGGGGAAUCUUGCGCAAUGGGGGGAACCCUGACGCAGCGACGCCGCGUGCGGGACGGAGGCCUUCGGGUCGUAAACCGCUUCCAGCAGGGAAGAGUCAAGACUGUACCUGCAGAAGAAGCCCCGGCUAACUACGUG